rnacentral:rRNA from 1 species
UACGUAGGUGGCAAGCGUUGUCCGGAUUUAUUGGGUUUAAAGGGUGCGUAGGCGGUUUUUUAAGUCAGUGCUGAAAUACUCCAGCUUAACUGGAGGGGUGGCAUUGAUACUGGAAGACUUGAGUACAGAUGAGGUAGGCGGAAUUGACGGUGUAGCGGUGAAAUGCAUAGAUAUCGUCAAGAACACCGAUAGCGAAGGCAGCUUACUGGGCUGUAACUGACGCUGAUGCACGAAAGUGUGGGGGAUCAAACAGG